AACGCACGAGACCUGCGGACCUGCGGAAGGAUCAUUAUAGAGUGGUAAACCCCCCGUAAAAGGGGGGGACCUCCUGUCCUUUGUAGGCUCUUUUUUAAAAGGGCUUUUUUUAAUUUUCUGCUUCGGUGGGGUUAUCCCACCGGAACAACCUCAAAACUCUUAUCAAAAAAUCGUUCUGUCUGAGAACCUUUUAUAAUAAAAAAAAACUUUCAGCAACGGAUCUCUAGAUCGGAAGAGCAC
rnacentral:misc_RNA from 1 species